GACGAACGCUGGCGGCGUGCUUAACACAUGCAAGUCGAGCGGUAAGGCCUCUUCGGGGGUACACGAGCGGCGAACGGGUGAGUAACACGUGGGUGACCUGCCCUCAGCUCUGGGAUAAGCCUGGGAAACUGGGUCUAAUACCGGAUAUGACCUUUCCUCGCAUGGGGUUUGGUGGAAAGUUUUUUCGGCUGGGGAUGGGCCCGCGGCCUAUCAGCUUGUUGGUGGGGUGAUGGCCUACCAAGGCGACGACGGGUAGCCGGCCUGAGAGGGCGACCGGCCACGGGGGGACUGAGCCCGGGCCACGCCCCCUCGGGGGGGCGGCGGGGGGGGAUUUUGCGCAAGGGGCGGGGGCCUGCCGCGGCGCCGCGCGGGGGGGUAUGGCGCCCUUGGGGUGGAAACCCUCUUCCGCCCCCGGCGAUUUGGCGGGGGGGGGUAAAAGAAGCCCCCGCCCACCUCCGUC
rnacentral:rRNA from 1 species